GCGGUAAUACGGAGGGUGCGAGCGUUAAUCGGAAUUACUGGGCGUAAAGCGCAUGCAGGCGGCCUGUUAAGUCAGAUGUGAAAGCCCCGGGGCUUAACCCUCGGAAUUGCAUUUGAAACUGGCAGGCUAGAGUCUUGUAGAGGGGGUAGAAUUUCAGGUGUAGCGGUGAAAUGCGUAGAGAUCUGAAGGAAUACCAGUGGCGAAGGCGGCCCCCUGGACAAAGACUGACGCUCAGAUGCGAAAGCGUGGGGAGCAAACAGGAUUAGAUACCCUGGUAG
rnacentral:rRNA from 1 species